GGGCAUGGAAGGUGCAGGGGAGAGGGGGCCUACGGACACUCCCGACUCCACCUGGGCGCCGGGCUUGCCUCGCACCGCAGGUUGGCGAGUGAGGGGGCGACCCUUUGGAGGUCACGGAGCCCGGCGUGGCUGGCACACUGUUAGGUGCAGGCCCCACGAUGGGACCUGUGCCCUGCCUCGGCUCCUCCCCCGCCCGCCCCUCCCGGCCCCGCCCCGCGCGGGAGGGGUGGGCGGGGCCCGCGGGGGAGCGCGCCGACCUCCCAGCCAGGUGCAGCGCGGGCUGUCCCGUGGCGGACGCGGCCGGGAGGAGAGUUCGGGUCUCCUCCUGCCUGUGCUGCGUCCCUGCGCCUUCUCAGCCGGAUGCCCGAGACACUCAGAACCCAGGUCACAGCCCAGCGGGGCAUCCUCGGCUCCCCCAGCACUCCUCGAGAUGAGCACUGGGGAGAGAGGGUAGGCAGAGGCAGGGAUCUAGAGCGACCUCUAUAACCCUUGACGAUUUGAACAGAAUGGGCUUCCUCUUGCCUUAGCUGCGAGGAGGGCUCAGCUGUGUGUGGGAAAGGGGAUGAAAGAUGGUCCUAACCACGCAGAAGCAGAGAGGACAGGUGGGGGAGAUCAGAGCAUCAGAGAAGAGCUAACAGCACUCACGUGGACACUUCCUUGAUUUCAUCCACACCCCCUCCCUAAUUAACCGGUGAGGUAGUAGGUCUUAAUCCAUUGUCAGAUGAGCAAAAAAGGAGGCUCCAAGAGGUUAAGUAACUUGCUGGAGAAAAGUGGUGGACCUGGACCACAAACCACAGUCGGAUGGUUGGUUCUCCAUUUUUCUGGGCCCCUGAUCAGCAGGGGUUCAUUUCUUCUCCCCUUCCCUUGAGUUUCUUCCCCUGAAAGGGGUAGGCCCAGAGAGUGCACCUCCAAGAAGAAAUAAAAUCUGGUCAGGAAGCUCCUCCAACAGAGGGCCGACUCCUUGCUAAGCUAGGAGGUCUGCAGGAGGCGAGGACCUGUUUUGUUCACGGCUGUAACCAUAGUACCUGGCACUCUCGGAAGGUGCCCCACAAGAAUGGAAUGAAUUAACCUGAAAUAGCAGAGCCUCUUUUCCAGCUGAUGAAUCUUUGCCCUUGGUGAACAGAAAGGGCAUUCUGAAAAGUCAGACCAGAAAGGUGCCCAAUGCCAUCACUGCGGGUCCUUGAAAUCCUUACCCCACUUGGUUCUUUUAAGCCAGUGAGCACAUCCAUAAUCCCAUGUGCCUUUCCAGACAGCCAGGCUUUCACCUUACCCCCAGUCUACUUCUUGUCAGGCUAGGAGAAGCAGCAGGAAGUGGGUUCCAUGCCCAACUUGGCCCUGCUCUAGGUUGAAGGCAGAGGACCCUUGGCCCGUCUAUACCAAGUCUUACCCAUCUCUCCAAGAAAUCUUAUUUGGAAACUCUAAUCUUCAUUGCCUCUUCCCUGAUCCUUCCAUGGGGCAACCAUGGAUUCAGGUUGGAUCCAUGGAUUCAGGGAAGAGGACUUGCUUUUCUGAGCCUCAAUUGCCUCAUCUGUAAAAUGGGGACAAUAGAAUCUGCAUGGCUUUACAUGAGAGUGUGUGGUCCAAAGCGCUCUGCAAGCUGCAAAGCAGACUGUGAGAGACGAUUUUUCUUUCCUCACAUGUUUGUUAGCCUGACCUCCCCAGGUGGGCUGUAAAUUCCUUCUGGGAAGGGAUCACACAUCUUGGUAUCCCUCUGAGAGCUCUCCUCAUUGUGAGCACACAGUAGGUUCACAGGAAUGGAAGAGGAAUUGCUAAAAUUGGUGAAAAAUCCACCGCUGCCCCCAUGUGAGGAGAGGGGAUACUCUACAAUACAGGGGAGGGUAUAGGAGGGACGGGAGGGGUCUGAGAUCCAAGACCAGGAACGAAUGGGAAGGCAGGGCGUAGCGGACUUUCCAUGGCAGUGCCCUGAAGACUUUUGAGGCUGUGCCAGGAACCUUAUAACCUUGGACUCCUUAGCAGAUGUGGUGUCUGCUUUGGCCUGAGGACAGGCCAGGACACCCAGAGUUGACCAGUUCUGCUCCUUGGGGGAAACCACUGAGAACAUAGCUGGGAUUCAAGCCCCUGCACGUCCCCACUCCCAUCCCCCCGCCCACACACACACACCACCUGUUCCUCCCCAGGGGUUUGUGCACACGUAGGGCCCACCCAGCUUCCUACUGCCUGUUCCUGGCUCUUAACAAGAACCCAGUGGAGUAAGACCUUUAGACACAGAAUAUCUCAGCUGGAAUAAGCCUUAGAGGUCAUAUCUCUACACCCCUUCCCUGCUUUGCUUUCCAUAGCACAUGUCACCAUCUAACAUCCUGUAUAUUAAGAAUAUUGAAGAAUCUUGUUUCUUGGCUGUCUUCCCUGUUCGAGUAUCAGCUCCAUGAGGGCAGGGCUUUCGAUCUGUUUUAUUCUGCUCUAUUCCCAGGAGUCAGAGCAGUGCCUGGUGCGCAGUGGGUGCUUAGUUAAUAUGCGUUGAGUAAAUGAAUGCAUCCAGGCCACGCUUCCUCAUUGUACGGUUGGGGAGACUGAGGCCCAGAGACAGGAGUGACCUCUUGAAGACAGAGCUGGAGCUUCUCUUGAUUGGACUUGAGUUAAUUCUAAGCUGGGUCUCUGUCCCCUGCACCAGGCUGCUAGGGGUGCUUAGGAGCUGCCUUGGAAAGAACCUUCAGACCAGGUGCCCCCAGUUGCUCAGAGGGGCGGCUCCUAGCUGAACAGAUCACCAUCCACAUAGAGUGAUUUGAGAGCGCAAAGCGGGGAGCGCUCCCGGUUAGACCCGCAUCCCCAGAAGAAACCUCCUAAUGCUGCUUUCCAAAGGUGGGUGGUGCCUCUAUUAGUGGUGAAAACAGUGCCGUCUCCAGGCAGCCUUUUCAGGUUCCCCAAGGGCACUGGACGACCCAGGCGGACCAGCCAAGUCCCUGGCAGCCCUGGGGAAAGAGGUGGAGCCUCAGAUCUGCUGGGUCAAGGAUAACAAACCAGUCUGAGAAGGCGCGACCAGAUGUGUGGGCCAGGAAGAGCGAGGACAUUAUUCUGCCCAAGGCGUGGGAGAAGGUGGGGGGCUCUUAGGCCUCACUUAGGAAUCUGAUGAGUGGUUGUCUGGAGGCCCCAAGAGCUUGAAAUUCUGAGGCACUGUGUCAGGACAAGCAGGAUGGAGAAGGUUGCGUGUGUGUAUGGGCGGGGGCAUAGGGUAGAAGCUGGAACUAUCUAUGGGAUAGAAAAUAUGGGAGACACAUCCACGAACACCAAGCCACUUCAGUCUCCCUCCCCACCCCAUCAUUGUGCUGGCCAGUGUUGUUUCUGUAAAGGACUUUUGUCUGUGUUCUAAGGGAGAAGUCUAGGCCGUGUGGAACUGAUUGGAGGAAAAGAUACCUAUGGCAAGAAGACCUCCCAAAGAGGCUAUUGCAGGAACAGAGACAGGAGAUGGGGUCCCUGGAGGUGGAUUUCCUCCUGACACUCACUGGGAAUGUAGACCCUUCCUAACUGCUUGGAGGAGCAGGGGUACAUUUUUUUUUUUAAUUUAUGCAUGUAUGUAUGGCUGCGUUGGGUCUUCGUUGCUGCGCGCGGGCUUUCUCUAGUUGCGGCGAGCGGGGGCUGCUCUUUGUUGCCGUGUGCGGACUUCUCAUCGCGGUGGCUUGUCUUUGUUGUGGCGCACGGGCUCUAGAGCGCAGGCUCAGUAGUUGUGGCGCACGGGCUUAGUUGCUCCGCGGCACGUGGGAUCUUCCCAGACCAGGGCUCAAACCCGUGUCCCCUGCAUUGGCAUGCGGAUUCUUAACCACUGCACCACCAGGGAAGUCCCCUGAGUUACAUUUUUAAUAAUAGUAAUAAGCAUGCAAUAAAUGCUAGUCGGAUGCCAGGCACUGUUCUAAGCACUUUACUUGUACUAGGUAGUCCUUACCACAGCCAUGAGGUUGAAACCGUAUCAUCUCCCUUUUACAGAUGAGGAAACUGAGCUUCAGAAAGGUGGCGUAACUUUGCCCAAAAUGACACUUGCAGGGAGAGGGGCACCAGAAUUAGUCGGGCUCCAGACCCUGCAGCCUUAGCCUCCAUGCUGUGCUGCCUCAGUCAGCCAAGUAGGCCACACAGACAGGACAAAGAGCCUGGAGGCCAGGGUGGUCGACACACACGUGGAGACAGGGGAAGCAGCUCCUGUGCAGGCCCCCACAUUAGAUGCAUAGGGAACUUUGGCGAUUUCCCUGCUAUUGACCCCCAAAUCUUCUCCCAUUGGUAUUGUGGUUUGCCAAAUUAAAAGCUGAAAUUGAUGUUGGGAGAGACUCCAGAAGUUGGGCUUUGAAGGAUGUGUAGGGUUUUUUACCAGCGUGUUGGGAAAACUGGGGAGGAAGGGAGGCAGGGCAGGUGGAGGGAACAAUGAUAAUGCUUUGCCUGAAGAAAUGAGUCCAUAAUAGUGACUCGUCCUGGGCUUCCCUGGUGGCGCAGUGGUUAAGAAUCCACCUGCCAAUGCAGGGGACAUGGGUUCUAUCUCUGGUCCGGGAAGAUCCCACAUGCCGCGGAGCAACCCAGCCUGUGCGCCACAACUACUGAGCCUGAGCUCUAGAGCCUCCGAGCCACAACUACUGAGCCUGCAUGCCAUAUCUAUUGAAGCCUGCGUGCCUAGAGCCCGUGCUCCGCAACAAGAGAAGCCGCCGCAAUGAGAGGCCCGUGCGCCACAACUAGAGAAAGCCUGCAUGCAGCAACGAAGACCCAACACAGCCCCCCCAAAAAAAAAAAAGUGACUCGUCCUGUGUCUGAGGCCACUGUAGCUCCCCUCCCCCCAUUCUUGUCCCCCAGCCACUCCUUGUGGGCUCCCUUCCUGUGAAGAGGGGAGACCCUGACAUGAGACAUAGCUUAUGCAUUCCUGUCCCUUGCCUCCUUUAUUACCACCGUCACUACAAGUCUGGUGGCUUUCAGCGACAGUAGAUGGAAAAGUACGCCUGUUGUGACAUGACAUGAAUCAGUCCUUCAUAAAUAAUGGGGUUGCAUUGUCAGUGCUAAUGCCUGGACCUGUGCCCUAGUGUCUGGUCCACGGUGGGAGACAUAGUGUUGGCUCCUGAGGGAAAAGGACAAGGGUGACUCUAGGUGUUAUUCUGAAAUUGUGCAGGAUGGCAGCAAGGAGCCAACAGGUGUAAGAGAUACAGUCAUUUUUGGCAGCUAGGGAAAAGGACAGUGUUCCCCCAAAGCAGUGAUCCUAGGUGUGAUUUCUGCCCAUGCUCUGUCCUCUCACCCAGGGUUUAUCUUACAGAGUUGUCCCUUCUUCCGUCCUUGACACCAGGCUCGGGCCACCCCCAGAGAGCUCUGUGGGGAACUUGCGUGAUGAAUUUUGCCUAAACCUCAAAGGGCGUCUUGCCGGGAUACACUGUAGCCCCUUAAGACAUUCUUCCUCUUUGAUUAUGUGGGAGCCCUGUGGUCAGGAUGACUUUGGUGGGAUGCAUUUGGAGCCGGCCAGAGGCACAGAGCCCAGCCAUCACGGGUGUCUAGAUCCCAGGGGCCUGAAUUUGGCUACUCAGCCAGCUUGCCACUGGGCUUUGAGUCGGUCACUGGAGUCUGGGGAGCUGAAGGCCUGGUGUGGCAGGCGGGGAGCCCUGGAUUCUAAUUUUUUUUUUUAUAUAUACUUUUUUUUUUUUUUUGGUCGGCGCCGCGUGGCAUUCGGGAUCUUAGUUCCCCCACCAGGGAUUGAACACCGGCCCCCUGCAGCAGAAGCUCGGAGUCUUAACCACUGGACCGCCAGGGAAGUCCCCCUGACACGGUCUAACUCACAGUAUGACUUUGGCCCUGUCCCUUCCUGGGCCCCAGUUUUCUCAUCUGUAGAAGAGACAGCUUGGCUGAGAUCAGCACCAGAUACUUCUUUGCUGCAGGGCUGUCCUGUGUUUUGUAGGACGUUCGGCAGCAGCCCUGGCCUCUACCCACUAGACGCCAGUAACGCUACCUCUCACUUCUCUCGGCAAACAGCAGUGUCUCCAGACAUUGCCCAACGACCGCGGUGGGCAGAAUUGUCUCUGGUUGAGAACCACGGGGUUAGAUGGUCUCUGAAGACCCUCCCACUGGUUACCCCCAGGACCAGGAAGACACUUUUCUCUUUCAGCCCCUGUUUUGGAGAUGCUGACUGUGUGAGAACCAAGGAGCCUGUGCAUGGGGUCUCCAAGGGCUUACGGGGUAGGAUGUGAGCUAUGAGAACAGGAAAGGCUCUGGGCCCACUGGGCCUCUUGCUGAGAGCCAAGGCCAAGGUCUUUUUGCCUCCCAGGCCUUGGGUUACAUAAGAAGGUAGGGGGCGGGGGGAAGCAGGCCUGUAGUUGGCCCAGGCGCUAAGGUCAGCAUCCGUCCAGCCAGUGACUAAUCAUCUCUACAUGCCCUAAGGACUUAGCUGCUCCGUGGUCCCCUCUCCCACUGCCCUGGGAGGGGACACAGGAAGUGAAUCAGCCCACCCACAGUGCAGAGGAAGGAGAAGGUGGAGCACAGCAGUGUUAGACCCAAGGGCCACACACUGUUACCCCAACCCAUCCCUGGUUUUAUUUUGUUUAUUCCUCCCAAGUUAGUUGUUUAUUAACCCGCCCGUGGAAGCCCCUUCUGACCUUGUUGCUUAAUGGAAGGGUGAAGAUUUAUCUUCUCCAGGAAUGGGAGGAGUUUGUCAAUGAAUCUUGGAAGUAAAUCACUGUUCUGAGGACAACAGGCUCAGAAAUUUGGGGUAGUGUUAACCCAAAAUGAUCGGUUUGGGUUAUACUUUUUUUUUUUUGCGGUACACGGGCCUCUCACUGCUGUGGCCUCUCCCGUUGCGGAGCACAGGCUCCGGACGUGCAGGCUCAGUGGCCAUGGCUCACGGGCCCAGCUGCUCCGCGGCAUGUGGGAUGUUCCCAGACCAGGACACAAACCUGUGUCCCCUGCAUCGGCAGGCGGACUCUCAACCACUGAGCCACCAGGGAAGCCCUGGGUUAUUCAUUCUUAUAGUUCUCAUUGAAGGACGAGAGACUGCUCUAGACGGCAGGUUAGAUGCUGAGGAAGGAGCAGGGAGUCAGACAAGCCCCCUGCCUCAGAACCCUGCAGUCUGGGAGUACAGAGGUCAGUCUGUAAUUGCAGUGCCCAGAGGAGGGUCUGGUCAGCUCCACCCAGGGUGUGAGGUAGGGAAUUGGGGAUGGAGGGUGGGGGCGUGCAUGGGUUUUUUUUGGGAGGUAAUGGUAGCGUGCAGAGGGUUUCAACGAGGAGAGCUGGGUUUUGAUUUUGGUUUUUGCCUUUUUUAUUGUGGUAAAAUAUACAUAACAUACGAUUUACCAUUUUAAUCAUUUCAAAGUAUACAGUUCAGUGCCAUUAAGGACAUUCACCUCGUUGUACAACCAUCCCCACCAUCCAGCUCCGGAAUUCUUUGCACUUUACAAAACCAGAACUCCGUACCCGUUAACUCCCCUUUCCCUCCUCCCCUCAGCCCCUGGUAACCACCCUGCUUCUUUCUGUCUCUGUGAAUUUGACUAUUCUGGGUACGUCACCUAAGCAGAGUCUUACAACAUGUGAGGUUUUUUUGUUUUUUUUUUUUUUGCGGUACACGGGCCUCUCACUGUUGUGGCCUCUCCUGUUGCGGAGCACAGGCUCUGGACGCGCAGGCUCAGCGGCCAUGGCUCACGGGCCCAGCCGCUCCGCGGCAUGUGGGAUCUUCCCGGACCGGGGCACGAACCCGUAUCCCCUGCAUCGGCAGGCGGACUCUCAACCACUGCGCCACCAGGGAAGUCCAACAUGUGAGUUUUUGUGUCUGGCUUCUUUCCCUUAGCAUGAUGUUUAAAGAUUUAUCAGUGUUGUGGUAUACGUCAGAAUUUCCCUCCUUUUGAAGGCUGAAUAAUAUUCCAGUUGUGGAUAGCCCACAUUUUGUUUAUCCAUCCAUCUGUCGAUGGACAAGGGUUGCUUCCACCUUUUGGCUUUUGUCAGUAUUGCUGCUAUGAACAUGGCUGUACAAAUGUCUGUUUGGGUCCCUGCUUUCAGUUCUUUGGGGUGUAUUCCCAGAAGUGGAAUUGCUGGAUCAUAUGGAAAUUCUGUGUUUCAUAUUUUGAGGAACCACCAUACCGUUGAGGAAUAGGUGUUGGAACUAGAUCUGAAGGAUGAACAUGAGCUCUCCAGGCCUCUAGGUAGAGGAAGAGGGAGGAAAGGGGGAGGGGGAGGAGGGAGGGCAGGGGAGGAGAGAGCCUGGACUGCGGCAGGAGACAAGUGGCACAGUGGUGUUUGUGCUUGGGGCUGGAGAUGGGGCCCUGGACGGGUAGAGUGCGAAGGGUCUUGGACCAGGCGAGGAACUUGGGCUCCAUGCUGUAGGCAGAGAGAAGCACUGAAGGGGGUUUUAAUCAGGAAGUGAUAGAGGCCUAUUAUCAUCUUAGAUGGACAGAGCUGGGAGUGAUGUCACAGAUGGUCUGGGAGGGAAAGAGGCUUAAGGCAAGAAGCAAGUGGGAGAAAACUGGGUAACACUGGAGCCUCGUGGUUGGGGCGGGUGGAGGGAGCAGGUCUGGAGGGUGGGUGCGCUGCACAGGGUGCCCAGGUUUGCGCUUUGGUGCUGGGUGAGUGGUGGCGAGGCUGCCGGUAAGCUUAUAGGAGGAGCAGCCAGUUUGACAAGAUGAUGAGGGCAUAUCCACUGGCUUGAAGGGACCAUGGAGCCACCUGGGCAGAGGCAGGAUUUGAGGGCUGCGCAAAGCUGGGCAGAGCUAGGUGCUGUAGAAUAGGGGGAGAAGCUGGUCCGGGGCAGGGAAAGGACCGCCAUCGGAUGGCACAGAGGACCCAGCGGAGCUGGAGGCCAGGACACAGGGAGGCCUCUGCUCAGUACUGCUCGGUCCCUGCCUUGCGUAUUUCAUAUCAAUCCGCGCAUUUUCACUGCCAAGCUCGAGGCUCUGAGCUUGAGGCUGGGCACGGGAGGUGGAGAUACAGAGAUAAACCCAAGCCAGUGACUAAUUCAUUUAUUCAUCCCAUAAAGCUUAGGAAAUGGAACUUGGCCAAUACCUUUGCACAGUUAAAUAUUGACACAAUUGGGAUAGGUGCUAUGCAGGAGAAAUGGAGCAUGUUAUGAAAGUGUGUCAGAGGACAUGCUUAAUCUAGGGCAGGGUUUCUCACAUCGGCACUCUUGCCAUUCUGCGUCAGGUAAUUCUUUGUCGUGGGGUCUGUCCGGUUUAGUAGCUUCCCUGGUCUCCACCCACGCGAUGCCAGUAAGUAGCCACACACAACCCACCCCCAGUUGUGAUCAACAAAAAUGUCUCUAGACAUUGCCAAAUGUCCCCUGGGAGGCAAAAUCACCCUCAGUUGAGAGCCAUUUGCCUAGGGGCCAGGAGAGACUUCUUUUUUUUUUUUUUUUUUAGGAGAGACUUCUUGAGAGAAUGAUGGUAAUCUGAGUUCUAGAAUAAAGCAGGGGUGGGGAGUGGAGGGGAAUAUUCGGGACACAGGUAACUGUGUGCAGAGGUCCUGAGGUGGGAAGGAGUGAGGAGGCUGGGGGAGCCGAUGAGGAAGGCUUCCAUUAGGUGGGCACUGUUGGGGGCAGGGAAGAGCGGAUGGAUUCAGGGAUACUCAGGAGGGAACACAGGCAAGGGAGCCUCCUGGGUGUGGAGGAUGAAAGUGGCUGGAAGCUGGCAAGUUACAUUUUGGGCCUGUUGGGUGAGCGAUACCUGGGGGUCCUCCAGGUGGGGCCCUGCGCUCAAAAGAGAGGUCUGGCUGGAGAUGCACAUUUGGGAGUGACAUGCGUGUAAAUGAUGAGCUUAGCCUUGGGUAGACCAGAUGGCCCAGGGGGAGUGUGUGGACCAAGCAGAGAGGAGGGCCUAGAAGUGAGCUCCAGGGGUGCCAGCAUUCAGAGACAGAGCGUUGGGAGGUGUCCCAGAGAGGGAGCAGGGAACCCGGGGAGCCCGGUGCUGGAGGAGCCCGAGGAUGCUGAAGGAUGGGGGCUGGCCCACGGUGAAGUCUCUGGAGCCUUCAGAUGGGGAAACUAAGGCACAAGGAGUUAAGUUCCUUGCCUGGAAUUGCACAGGAAAUGGCAAACCCGUCUUUAAACCCAUGUGGCUUGAAUCCAGCCCCGAGGCCCUUAACUGCUCUGCCUUAAUUCCUGAGACGGAGUGGUGAAGGUGAAGGAGACCAG